GUAGAGUAGUGGUCUACCAUGGGGGCAACGGGUAACGGGGAAUUAGGGUUCUAUUCCGGAGAGGAAGCCUGAGAAACGGCUACCACAUCCAAGGAAGGCAGCAGGCGCGCAAAUUACCCAAUCCCGACACGGGGAGGUAGUGACAAUAAAUACUGAUACAGGGCUCUUUUGGGUCUUGUAAUUGGAAUGAGUACAAUUUAAAUCCCUUAACGAGGAACAAUUGGAGGGCAAGUCUGGUGCCAGCAGCCGCGGUAAUUCCAGCUCCAAUAGCGUAUAUUAAAGUUGUUGCAGUUAAAAAGCUCGUAGUUGAACCUUGGGCCUGGCUGGCCGGUCCGCUCACCGCGUGCACUGGUCCGGCCGGGCCUUUCCUUCUGGGGAGCCGCAUGCCCUUCACUGGGUGUGUCGGGGAACCAGGACUUUUACUUUGAAAAAAUUAGAGUGUUCAAAGCAGGCCUAUGCUCGAAUACAUUAGCAUGGAAUAAUAGAAUAGGACGUGUGGUUCUAUUUGUGGUUUCUAGGACCGCGUAAUGAUUUAAUAGGGAUAGUCGGGGGGCAUCAGUAUUCAAUUGUCCAGAGGUGAAUUCUGGGAUUUAUUGAGAAUAACUUACUGGAAGCAUUGGCAGGAUGUUUUCAUUAUCAGGUGACGAAAGUUAGGGGGGAUCGGAAGAACGGAUCCAGAUUACCGUCGUUA
rnacentral:rRNA from 1 species